AUUGAACGCUGGCGGCAUGCCUUACACAUGCAAGUCGAACGGCGGCAUAGGAGCUUGCUCCUGAUGUCGAGUGGCGAACGGGUGAGUAAUAUAUCGGAACGUGCCCUAGAGUGGGGGAUAACUAGUCGAAAGACUAGCUAAUACCGCAUACGAUCUACGGAUGAAAGUGGGGGAUCGCAAGACCUCAUGCUCCUGGAGCGGCCGAUAUCUGAUUAGCUAGGUGGUGGGGUAAAAGCCUACCAAGGCGACGAUCAGUAGCUGGUCUGAGAGGACGACCAGCCACACUGGGACUGAGACACGGCCCAGACUCCUACGGGAGGCAGCAGUGGGGAAUUUUGGACAAUGGGGGCAACCCUGAUCCAGCAAUGCCGCGUGAGUGAAGAAGGCCUUCGGGUUGUAAAGCUCUUUCGUCAGGGAAGAAACGGUAGUAGCUAAUAUCUAUUACUAAUGACGGUACCUGAAGAAUAAGCACCGGCUAACUACGUGCCAGCCGCCGCCGUAA
rnacentral:rRNA from 1 species